rnacentral:rRNA from 1 species
GAUGAACGCUGGCGGCGUGCCUAAUACAUGCAAGUCGAGCGAACGGACGAGAAGCUUGCUUCUCUGAUGUUAGCGGCGGACGGGUGAGUAACACGUGGAUAACCUACCUAUAAGACUGGGAUAACUUCGGGAAACCGGAGCUAAUACCGGAGAAUAUUUUGAACCGCAUGGUUCAAAAGUGAAAGACGGUCUUGCUGUCACUUAUAGAUGGAUCCGCGCUGCAUUAGCUAGUUGGUAAGGUAACGGCUUACCAAGGCAACGAUGCAUAGCCGACCUGAGAGGGUGAUCGGCCACACUGGAACUGAGACACGGUCCAGACUCCUACGGGAGGCAGCAGUAGGGAAUCUUCCGCAAUGGGCGAAAGCCUGACGGAGCAACGCCGCGUGAGUGAUGAAGGUCUUCGGAUCGUAAAGCUCUGUUAUUAGGGAAGAACAUAUGUGUAAGUAACUGUGCACGUCUUGACGGUACCUAAUCAGAAAGCCCCGGCUAACUACGUG